rnacentral:lncRNA from 1 species
AAUGCUAGCUAGCCAUAUGUGUCUGUCCACCUUAAUGGCGUAGCAUAUAGCCGCAUUAUGGUGUGACGUGAGCGUUGGACGUAAGCGUAGUAGCCCUAUAUGAGUGUUUAAUCAUAUAGGGGGUAUGGGCACAUAUUUACACACCCGUCUGUCCACCUUGAUGGCGUAGUGUAGCACCGCAUUAAGGCGUGACGUGAGCGUUGGACGCGAGCGUAGUAGCCCUAUAUAGACCCAUGAAUUUAUAUAGGGAGUAUGGACGAGUGUAAAUACAUACAUAUAUUAUAGAGUCUGAGAGGCUCGAUAUUUUAUGGGAUAAAGGUUUUAUCGCUUGCGGCAUGCUAUUCGAUUUUUCCUUAGAAAUUAAUUUGGGAAACAUAAAUAUUUUAAUUAUUAAUUUAUUUUUGUCCACUCACUCUAACGUUAUUAAAUGUUUUCCCCUGGGCCCUUCGUUUUAAAUUGCCCAGUCUGCAGAGUUCGGGUUGGAUCUAGUAGGAGACGAGGCAUAGUCACCCGCUUUUCGGCCAGUUUUCAUCAGUAGGUUACCUGUUCAACCUACUCGUGUUUUCUUGCUUCCGCUUGUGUUUAGUAGCUCUAAAUACUUUAGAAUUUUUGUAUAUUAUGUGAUGUUCAGAAGUGUAAUAUGAAAUUUUCGAGUUAGGGUUGUCCAUCUGCAAGGGAGAUUUGCUUAAUCUUUUCAGUAAAUUUUCCUUGGAGGUGGUCCCCGCACGACUUACUCUGAGUUUCAGGGUGAAAUUCGGGGUGGGUCGUGUCAAUAAACCUCAUUCUUGUUCUAUUCACUCAUGGAAUCUCCUGCCAAUCAACCAAAACCCCCAAAAUUGAAAAUUUUCAUGAGCAUUAACAUGCCCAGUCGCGUUCUAAAUCCUUCAAGGUCGCAGGCCACUACAGCGAAGAUCUCAACGUCGCCCGAUCCCCAACCCAAACAAAGAUGAAGCUGACCAUCAUCGAUUCCCACCAAACAUGAACAAAAUGCAAUUGAAUCAGAUAAAAAAAAACAAAGUAAUUGAAGAAGACCCCCAACCAUGUCUCGUCGUUGGUGAGGCAUUAGUGUUGAAAUCAGAUCUGAUGCACAGAAAAAGUAGUUGAAGAAGACGCCAAACUUGUUUCGUGGAGG